UGGAGUUGCCACUGACAUGGCCGUUAUAGGGCGUCGUGGGGCAGCGCUGGGUACGGCCGUGACAGGGCGUAGUGGAGCUCCGCCUUGUACGGCUGUUACAGGAGAUCGUGGAGCAGCGCCGGAUACGACCGUUGCAGGGACAGAGGGUCGUGGCGUGCUUCAGGAGAACAGCCUGUCGUUGUCGAGAGGUUGCCGACUCGGGAUCGGAUUGCUGGAUCAAGGGGCAGCCGACUCGGGGUCGGGCUGCGAAGCCGAAGAUAUCCGACUCGGGGUCGAAUUGCUGGAUCAAGGGGCAGCCGACUCGGGGUCGGGCUGCGAAGCCGAAGAUAUCCGACUCGGGGUCGGGUUACUGGAUCAAGGGGCAGCUGUAG
rnacentral:lncRNA from 1 species